rnacentral:rRNA from 1 species
GUGUUUCGCUGACGAGUGGCGGACGGGUGGGUAAUGUCGGGGAAACGGGGUGAGUGAGGGGGGAUAACUACUGGAAACGGUAGCUAAUACCGCAUAACGUCGCAAGACCAAAGAGGGGGACCUUCGGGCCUCUUGCCAUCGGAUGUGCCCAGAUGGGAUUAGCUAGUAGGUGGGGUAACGGCUCACCUAGGCGACGAUCCCUAGCUGGUCUGAGAGGAUGACCAGCCACACUGGAACUGAGACACGGUCCAGACUCCUACGGGAGGCAGCAGUGGGGAAUAUUGCACAAUGGGCGCAAGCCUGAUGCAGCCAUGCCGCGUGUAUGAAGAAGGCCUUCGGGUUGUAAAGUACUUUCAGCGGGGAGGAAGGGAGUAAAGUUAAUACCUUUGCUCAUUGACGUUACCCGCAGAAGAAGCACCGGCUAACUCCGUGCCAGCAGCCGCGGUAAUACGGAGGGUGCAAGCGUUAAUCGGAAUUACUGGGCGUAAAGCGCACGCAGGCGGUUUGUUAAGUCAGAUGUGAAAUCCCCGGGCUCAACCUGGGAACUGCAUCUGAUACUGGCAAGCUUGAGUCUCGUAGAGGGGGGUAGAAUUCCAGGUGUAGCGGUGAAAUGCGUAGAGAUCUGGAGGAAUACCGGUGGCGAAGGCGGCCCCCUGGACGAAGACUGACGCUCAGGUGCGAAAGCGUGGGGAGCAAACAGGAUUAGA